rnacentral:lncRNA from 1 species
CAGGGCCUGAGGAUCAUCUUUUCGGAUGCAUCACGGCUUAUAUUCCGGCUCAGUUCCUCCAGUGGUGUUCGGGCCACCAUCAGACUGUAUGCGGAGAGCUACGAGAGGGAUCCCAGCGGUCACGAUCAGGAACCACAGUGCUGAGCCCUCUCAUAGCCAUUGCGCUGAAAAUAUCCCAGAUUCAUGAGAGAACUGGCCGGAGAGGACCCACCGUCAUCACCUAAGCACAGGGCGGCAGAGCACUGGGAGAGAUGCUUCACCAUGCCUUCUCGCUUCCUGUUUG